AGAACGAACGCUGGCGGCAUGCCUAAUACAUGCAAGUCGAACGAAGGCUUCGGCCUUAGUGGCGCACGGGUGCGUAACGCGUGGGAAUCUGCCCCUUGGUUCGGAAUAACAGUUGGAAACGACUGCUAAUACCGGAUGAUGACGAAAGUCCAAAGAUUUAUCGCCAAGGGAUGAGCCCGCGUAGGAUUAGCUAGUUGGUGAGGUAAAGGCUCACCAAGGCGACGAUCCUUAGCUGGUCUGAGAGGAUGAUCAGCCACACUGGGACUGAGACACGGCCCAGACUCCUACGGGAGGCAGCAGUAGGGAAUAUUGGACAAUGGGCGAAAGCCUGAUCCAGCAAUGCCGCGUGAGUGAUGAAGGCUUAGGUUGUAAAGCUCUUUACCGAGAUGAUAAUGACAGUAUCGGAGAAUAAGCCCCGGACUAACUCCGUGCCAGCAACGCCGAC
rnacentral:rRNA from 1 species